AUACGUAGGUGGCAAGCGUUGUCCGGAAUUAUUGGGCGUAAAGCGCAUGUAGGCGGUUUGGUAAGUCGGUCGUGAAAAUGCGGUGCUUAACGCCGUAUGGCGAUUGAAACUGCUGAACUUGAGUGCAGGAGCGGAAAGGGGAACUCCUAGUGUAGCGGUGAAAUGCGUAGAUAUUGGGAAGAACACCGGUGGCGAAGGCGCCUUUCUGGACUGUGUCUGACGCUCAGAUGCGAAAGCCAGGGUAGCGAACGGGAUUAGAUACCCCGGUAGUCCUGGCCGUAAACGAUGGGUACUAGGUGUGGGAGGUAUCGACUCCUUCCGUGCCGGAGUUAACGCAAUAAGUACCCCGCCUGGGGAGUACGGCCGCAAGGCUUAAACUCAAAUGAAUUGACGGG
rnacentral:rRNA from 1 species